CCUACGGGAGGCAGCAGUGAGGAAUAUUGGUCAAUGGGCGAGAGCCUGAACCAGCCAAGUCGCGUGAGGGAAGACGGUCCUAUGGAUUGUAAACCUCUUUUGCCGGGGAGCAAAAAGCGGUACGUGUACCGCAUCGAGAGUACCCGGAGAAAAAGCAUCGGCUAACUCCGUGCCAGCAGCCGCGGUAAUACGGAGGAUGCGAGCGUUAUCCGGAUUUAUUGGGUUUAAAGGGUGCGCAGGCGGCGAGUUAAGUCAGCGGUAAAAUCGUGGGGCUCAACCCCAUCCAGCCGUUGAAACUGGGGAUU
rnacentral:rRNA from 1 species